GUACUGAAAUGCAUGGUGGGAAAUCAGUGUGAAAUUCAUUGGCUGUUCCUGCAACCGUAAAGUCGGAGCGCCACCCAGUAU
ncrna:unclassified sequences AdoCbl variant RNA